rnacentral:rRNA from 1 species
GACGAACGCUGGCGGCGUGCUUAACACAUGCAAGUCGAACGGAAAGGCCCUGCUUUUGUGGGGUGCUCGAGUGGCGAACGGGUGAGUAACACGUGAGUAACCUGCCCUUGACUUUGGGAUAACUUCAGGAAACUGGGGCUAAUACCGGAUAGGAGCUCCUGCUGCAUGGUGGGGGUUGGAAAGUUUCGGCGGUUGGGGGUGGACUCGCGGCUUAUCAGCUUGUUGGUGGGGUAGUGGCUUACCAAGGAUUGGACGGGUAGCCGGCCUGAGAGGGUGACCGGACACAUUGGGACUGAGGUAAGGCACAGACACGUACGGGAGGGAGCAGGGGGGAAUAGUGCACAAUGGGCGGAAGCCUGCUGCAGCAACGCCGCGUGCGGGAUGACGGCGUUCGGGUUGUAGACCGCUUUCGCCUGUGACGAAGCGUGAGUGACGGUAAUGGGUAAAGAAGCCCCGGCUCACUACGUG